rnacentral:piRNA from 1 species
UNGAGCUGCAAGUGCCUGGGCAAUAAUU